AACGAACGCUGGCGGCAGGCUUAACACAUGCAAGUCGAACGCCCCGCAAGGGGAGUGGCAGACGGGUGAGUAACGCGUGGGAAUCUACCCAGAUCUUCGGAACAACUGAGGGAAACUUCAGCUAAUACCGGAUACGCCCUACGGGGGAAAGAUUUAUCGGUUCUGGAUGAGCCCGCGUUGGAUUAGCUAGUUGGUGAGGUAAUGGCUCACCAAGGCGACGAUCCAUAGCUGGUCUGAGAGGAUGAUCAGCCACACUGGGACUGAGACACGGCCCAGACUCCUACGGGAGGCAGCAGUGGGGAAUAUUGGACAAUGGGCGAAAGCCUGAUCCAGCCAUGCCGCGUGAGUGAUGAAGGCCUUAGGGUUGUAAAGCUCUUUCAGUAGGGAAGAUAAUGACGGUACCUACAGAAGAAGCCCCGGCUAACUUCGUGCCAGCAGCCGCCGCGGUAA
rnacentral:rRNA from 1 species